UUGCUGUGUGUUUCCUGCAGAAUCCCAAUGGGCCCAAUGCAGAAUCUCAAAGGCCAAACAGCCUUUUCUUUUCUCCAUGGAGAGAUGGGGAGGGGAAGAGAUUCAUAACUUCUUUCUUCUUGCUGGGCUCCCUCCUUUCGUGUGUUCUCAAAAAAACCGAAAUUGUGGGAUGGAAGGUAACUUCCCUUUCUCACCACAUGCUGUGAAACAAAGGGACAGUUUUUCUCUCUCUUCCUAAAACAUUUGCAGGAGGCAAGCAGCAAGAAUCUGGCAAGGAAGAUAUGAUCAUGAAGUACUACAAAAGGGCAAACAUCAUUUCCUCUUCAAGUGGUCCUCACAUGCCAAAGGACUUGGUGAGAGAGAAGAGGAGUAGAGUGAAUGGGUCUGAUCAUGAUCAUAAAUCUGUAGUAGCAGAAACAAUGCUGGAGCAGAAGACAUGACAUGUUAACACUUGUUAGAGAGAAAUUGCUAUGGGGCUGUACUACAGGAUAACUCAUUUCUAGUAAGUGAUGAAAUAGUUGCUUCGAAUUGCUUAUAGCACAUAUGUUUUGUUGCUUGUACACAUUCCGAUAAGUGAAGAUGGGAAAUGUCUCAUGGGCACACACUUCAGAAUCAGUACUAAACAUCUCCCCACCCCGUCCUGUAAAAUAGGGGUAAGAAAUUUCCCAAUGAGGCAGGGCCAAAAGCAACACAAUAUGUCUUCUGUUUGCUAUUUUGAUUAAUUUGAUUUUAACUCUCCCCCUUUUUUGUAUUUUGAGGAUAUUGCAAUCUUUUAGAAAUGAGUGAAUGCAAGGUGGAUUUGUGCAUGGCUCUUGGCUGUUUUCAGGUAAAACACAGUUCAAAAUUUUAAAUAAUUGUGGGAGAAUGUGGGUCAUAAAGUGGGGCUUAUGGGCUACAUAUGAUCCAUGAUCUACUCUUUCCUAUGCUGGACUACGUGCUUCUAGGGAAAAUAACACUAAUUAGGUGCUCAUACCAUAUUCCCUGACAUGUCUAAAUGAUACUAGUGCUAUGCUUCAUGUUAUGCUGUUAUGGCUCUCUAAAGAUGGUUCAUAAAAAUUUAAACAACAUAAUAAAGUACAACUGAACAAAUUAAAUCACAAUAUUCAAAACUAAAAACCCUCGAAUUCAAAUACAACCUUACUCCACAACAAAUUCCCACAAGAAACGUAGACUCAGGAAUGAGAAGCUCCCUCUAACUCUUCAUCAAAUGCCCAAUAACAUUUCCCAAGCAGGACGAUGUCAAAAGUAGAUGGAAUAACCUCCCACAGUGGAAACAGCAGUCUCUUCCCUAUACCUCUCAAGCUGCAGCUCAAUGAUAAAAAUGAACAAAACACCAACCUGCUAGUAUAGCUCUAAGGCUCAGGGCAAGACUGUCACAGUUGGCAGUGAUGGGGAAAAUAAAUUCUCAACUAUAACAGAUGUGUAGCUCUUAAGCCUGAAAGAUAUUGGCUGCCAAGAAGCUUUAGGAGAAAUGGCACAUUAAAUUAUUCUCAGGUGUUAAUGGGCAGAUCCUUUAUACAAUUUGCAAGGUACACAGCUGAUAGGUAAGCCACCUGGCCCCUAGUUUUCUAUUUCUUUUUUAUUUUUGGUAAGGUUCCAAAAUAUCCUUUCACUCCUUCCUGGCUGCUUAAGUGUAAUUACCUGGUCAAAGUUGGAAAAAACUUUAGUUUGAGACUGUAUUUCCAAAAGGCACCCUUUCUAGCUCAUAGCUCACAGGAAGCCUGCCUGUCACUGUCUGUACAUAGAGAACCUGGGGCAGUUUCAAGGGCAACAGUAUUCAGACCUAAAGGUAAGAGAGAGAUAGCUACCCUUGCUGCAAAAAGUAAGUGCCAUUCCUCUACAAAAUUAAAUUCAGUCUCAGCAUAUGUAUCAGGACAUCUUGGCCCAAAGAUACACGUGUCCAAUAGACGCAUUAUCAAGGGCAGUGGGUUUUGACAGACCUACAGGGAAAUUGCUGUAUCAUAUAGUCUUCUUUAGUCAACUGAUUUGCCAAAUGACAAUUUCAUUUGCUAGCUGAGAACUUGGCCUUCUUACUCAACCGUAACAGCCAAAGUCAAAUCUUAACUCCCAAAACGUGAGCCCCAGACAUAGCCACUCAGUCAGCCAAGUGACAUCUCCCCACCUGUAUAUCUUCCUGUAGAACAAAUCACACCAAUAGAUUCUGUUUGUUGCCACCUCCACAUCCAAAGCAACCACGUUCUUCAGCAUGGGGAUGAUGCGGGAGUAGUCCCU